rnacentral:misc_RNA from 1 species
AACGCACAUUGCGCCCCUUGGUAUUCCAUGGGGCAUGCUUGUUCGAGCGUCAUUUGUACUCUCAAGCUCUGCUUGGCAUUGGGUGCUUGUCCUCUCCUUUGUAGUGGACUCACCUUAAAUUCAUUGGCAGCCAAUGUAUUGGUCUUGAAGCGCAGCACAUUUUGCGUCUCUAGCUGAUAAUCAUUAGCGUCCAUAAGUAUAAUUAACACUUUUGACCUCGGAUCAAGUAGGGAUACCCGCUGAACUUAA